rnacentral:rRNA from 1 species
AUGCGACUCUUCGGAGGCGUUACACAGGUGCUGCAUGGCCGUCGUCAGCUCGUGUCGUGAGAUGUUUGGUUAAGUCCAGCAACGAGCGCAACCCCUGUUGCCAGUUACCAGCACGUGAAGGUGGGGACUCUGGCGAGACUGCCCAGAUCAACUGGGAGGAAGGUGGGGACGACGUCAGGUCAGUAUGGCCCUUAUGCCCAGGGCUGCACACGUACUACAAUGCCCAGUACAGAGGGGGCCGAAGCCGCGAGGCGGAGGAAAUCCUGAAAACUGGGCCCAGUUCGGACUGUAGGCUGCAACCCGCCUACACGAAGCCGGAAUCGCUAGUAAUGGCGCAUCAGCUACGGCGCCGUGAAUACGUUCCCGGGUCUGUAACCACACCGA